rnacentral:rRNA from 1 species
AGUGAACGCUGGCGGCAGGCCUAAUACAUGCAAGUCGAACGGCAGCACAGCAGAGCUUGCUCUGUGGGUGGCGAGUGGCGGACGGGUGAGGAAUACAUGGGAAUCUGCCCAGUCGUGGGGGAUAACGUAUGGAAACGUACGCUAAUACCGCAUGCGCCCUUUGGGGGAAAGCCGGGGACCUUCGGGCCUGGCGCGAUUGGAUGAGCCCAUGUUCGAUUAGCUUGUUGGCGGGGUAAAGGCCCACCAAGGCGACGAUCGAUAGCUGGUCUGAGAGGAUGAUCAGCCACACUGGGACUGAGACACGGCCCAGACUCCUACGGGAGGCAGCAGUAGGGAAUAUUGGACAAUGGGCGCAAGCCUGAUCCAGCCAUGCCGCGUGAGUGAAGAAGGCCCUCGGGUUGUAAAGCUCUUUUGUCCGGAAAGAAAAGCAUUCGGUUAAUACCCGGGUGUUCUGACGGUACCGGAAGAAUAAGCACCGGCUAACUUCGUG